UGCUACAGGCUUAACACAUGCAAGUCGAGGGGCAGCAUGGUCUUAGCUUGCUAAGGCCGAUGGCGACCGGCGCACGGGUGAGUAACACGUAUCCAACCUGCCGUCUACUCUUGGACAGCCUUCUGAAAGGAAGAUUAAUACAAGAUGGCAUCAUGAGUCCGCAUGUUCACAUGAUUAAAGGUAUUCCGGUAGACGAUGGGGAUGCGUUCCAUUAAAUAGUAGGCGGGGUAACGGCCCACCUAGUCUUCGAUGGAUAGGGGUUCUGAGAGGAAGGUCCCCCACAUUGGAACUGAGACACGGUCCAAACUCCUACGGGAGGCAGCAGUGAGGAAUAUUGGUCAAUGGGCGAGAGCCUGAACCAGCCAAGUAGCGUGAAGGAUGACUGCCCUAUGGGUUGUAAACUUCUUUUAUAAAGGAAUAAAGUCGGGUAUGGAUACCCGUUUGCAUGUACUUUAUGAAUAAGGAUCGGCUAACUCCGUGCCAGCAGCCGCGGUAAUACGGAGGAUCCGAGCGUUAUCCGGAUUUAUUGGGUUUAAAGGGAGCGUAGAUGGAUGUUUAAGUCAGUUGUGAAAGUUUGCGGCUCAACCGUAAAAUUGCAGUUGAUACUGGAUAUCUUGAGUGCAGUUGAGGCAGGCGGAAUUCGUGGUGUAGCGGUGAAAUGCUUAGAUAUCACGAAGAACUCCGAUUGCGAAGGCAGCCUGCUAAGCUGCAACUGACAUUGAGGCUCGAAAGUGUGGGUAUCAAACAGGAUUAGAUACCCUGGUAGUCCACACGGUAAACGAUGAAUACUCGCUGUUUGCGAUAUACUGCAAGCGGCCAAGCGAAAGCGUUAAGUAUUCCACCUGGGGAGUACGCCGGCAACGGUGAAACUCAAAGGAAUUGACGGGGGCCCGCACAAGCGGAGGAACAUGUGGUUUAAUUCGAUGAUACGCGAGGAACCUUACCCGGGCUUAAAUUGCAGAUGAAUUACGGUGAAAGCCGUAAGCCGCAAGGCAUCUGUGAAGGUGCUGCAUGGUUGUCGUCAGCUCGUGCCGUGAGGUGUCGGCUUAAGUGCCAUAACGAGCGCAACCCUUGUUGUCAGUUACUAACAGGUUCCGCUGAGGACUCUGACAAGACUGCCAUCGUAAGAUGUGAGGAAGGUGGGGAUGACGUCAAAUCAGCACGGCCCUUACGUCCGGGGCUACACACGUGUUACAAUGGGGGGUACAGAGGGCCGCUACCACGCGAGUGGAUGCCAAUCCCCAAAACCUCUCUCAGUUCGGACUGGAGUCUGCAACCCGACUCCACGAAGCUGGAUUCGCUAGUAAUCGCGCAUCAGCCACGGCGCGGUGAAUACGUUCCCGGGCCUUGUACACACCGCCCGUCAAGCCAUGGGAGCCGGGGGUACCUGAAGUGCGUAACCGCGAGGAGCGCCCUAGGGUAAAACUGGUGACUGGG
rnacentral:rRNA from 1 species